UUUGUACUCCCUCCAUCCUAAAAUUCUUGUCUUAGAUUUAUGUAGAUAUGAAUGUAUCUAGUCACAUUUUAGUAUUAGAUACAUUCAUUUCUAAACAAACCUAAGACAAGAAUUUUGGGACGGAGGGAGUAGAAG
rnacentral:pre_miRNA from 1 species